AGUGAACGCUGGCGGCAGGCCUAACACAUGCAAGUCGAACGGCAGCACAGGAGAGCUUGCUCUCUGGGUGGCGAGUGGCGGACGGGUGAGGAAUACAUCGGAAUCUACCUUUUCGUGGGGGAUAACGUAGGGAAACUUACGCUAAUACCGCAUACGACCUUAGGGUGAAAGCGGAGGACCUUCGGGCUUCGCGCGGAUAGAUGAGCCGAUGUCGGAUGAGCUAGUUGGCGGGGUAAAGGCCCACCAAGGCGACGAUCCGUAGCUGGUCUGAGGGGAUGAUCAGCCACACUGGAACUGAGACACGGUCCAGACUCUUACGGGAGGCAGCAGUGGGGAAUAUUGGACAAUGGGCGCAAGCCUGAUCCAGCCAUGCCGCGUGGGUGAAGAAGGCCUUCGGGUUGUAAAGCCCUUUUGUUGGGAAAGAAAAGCAGCCGGUUAAUACCCGGUUGUUCUGACGGUACCCAAAGAAUAAGCACCGGCUAACUUCGUGCCAGCAGCCGCCGUAACAC
rnacentral:rRNA from 1 species